GAUGAACGCUGGCGGCGUGCCUAAUACAUGCAAGCCGAGCGAAUGGAUUAAGAGCUUGCUCUUAUGAAGUUAGCGGCGGACGGGUGAGUAACACGUGGGUAACCUGCCCAUAAGACUGGGAUAACUCCGGGAAACCGGGGCUAAUACCGGAUAACAUUUUGAACCGCAUGGUUCGAAAUUGAAAGGCGGCUUCGGCUGUCACUUAUGGAUGGACCCGCGUCGCAUUAGCUAGUUGGUGAGGUAACGGCUCACCAAGGCAACGAUGCGUAGCCGACCUGGGAGGGUGAUCGGCCACACUGGGACUGAGACACGGCCCAGACUCCUACGGGAGGCAGCAGUAGGGAAUCGUCCGCAAUGGACGAAAGUCUGACAGAGCAACGCCGCGUGAGUGAUGAAGGCUUUCGGGUCGUAAAACUCUGUUGUUAGGGAAGAACAAGUGCUAGUUGAAUAAGCUGGCACCUUGACGGUACCUAACCAGAAAGCCACGGCUAACUACGUGCCAGCCGCCGCAGUAA
rnacentral:rRNA from 1 species